GGUGUAUGAGUCGACACGAACCACAACAGCAUCAGUUUGUCCACUUUAACACAACUUUUCCCUGCCAUGCCGCUUGUCAGCGUGAAGUCAGUUGAGCAGAUGUCUGAACCCUGCAGAACAAAACAAAGAACUAAGUGAAAAAGCAAGAAAAGUCCAUCCUGGAGAAGAACACUCGACUAAAAUUUUAAACAAGGCAAUCAGUAAGGGGAGCCUCAAUGGUCUGCAGACUUUCUGUCAGAUGAAAACAAACUGACACUGCUUGAUAUUCAGCGCCGUAUAUGACAUCAAAAUCGGCCUCAACACAGGUUAAAUGAGACACAUCACCAUUACACUCACUAUCAUGGAUGAAGAAACACAACAGGGUUUGAUGAUCAGCACAUGGUCUUACAUCACCACCGAUCACAAAAUUCACAGGCUACCUUUCAGACGAUUAGAUUCGGAUACUUCUGCUUUAGAAACAGCACAAACAUGUUUUCCUCCUGAUAAAAUUGUGGAGCAAAGUCAUCAAAGACAGGGAACCUGUAAUCAGUGUGAGUAGAAGCACUUUGUUUUGUGAUGUGAUCUGUGCUCCUUUCUUAUUUUCACGUCCUGUUGCUUUAAAAUCAAUGACACUUGAGUAAAUGAAAACAAAUCCACUACUCCUGUAAGAAUAAUAACCUUCCCACUAUCCUUAUGUCUGUGAUGGCCGUUUUUAGGUCUUUGUCACCUACAGAUGACACACUGCUGCAGCUGACUGAGGGGACAGAGGGAGGUGUAUCUGCAGGGACUGCAGAGGAGAUGGGCAGAAAACAUAAGACAGAAGGUCAACCCAAUGUCAUUACAAUGUUCAGCAUGCCGCAAGCCAAGUUUCACUCUGGUCUCAAACUUUUGCACUGACUUUGUCAAACUCUUUUUGUAACUCUGUGUGAACAUGUCCUUUAGGGUUCAGUCAGAAAAACCUUGCCUGUGUCUGUAUACAUUUUUUUCGUCUUUGUAAAAGAUCUUUUAAUUGAUACAUAAAAAAGUAAAUAGUUUAGCUGUGCAUUGCACGUAUGUAACAUGUACAUAUUGUCGUACUGUAAAUUGUGGUUCUGUUAAACUCUUUCCGCAACUAUUAGUAAGUAAGAUUUGUCAGCUCUGAGUCAAAAUGAGAUUUGCACAUUUUAACUAAAAUCAUGAAUAUACAAUAUGUCAUGUGCAGGCCUGUUCCAUUAGAGUAAUAAAAGACAAACCAGAAAAGAGACAUUUAUCAAUUAA